UAUGGUUUAUUAUGCCAUGAAUUUUUUCUCUAAGACGAGUACCUUGUUUAGCCCGUUGAGCUCCCAGACAGUAUAACUUAUCAGUUUGGCAAAUAAAACAAAAGCAGUUAUGGGUCAAUCAAGUCAUGAUUACUCAAAUUUGCUUAUUUAUUCACAAAAUCCUCCUAAUAAUCUAUUUUUAUUUCGUAUAACCUUCAACUAUUGUUUAUUUGCAACUUAGUCCCUUCCACCCCUAUAAAUACCAUCAUCUUUUCUCACUUAGGGGAGGCCCAACCCCCCAUCAUUCUACUCUCUCUCUAAAAAAAAAAAGCUCUCAUUCACUCACUUUCUCUAAAAAAAUCAGUAAAAAAGGAAAAAAUAUAGUUCAUUCAAGUCAAAAAAUAGUUUUAGUUAAAGUGAAAUCAGAAAAAUCAAAAAAAAAAUAAUUUUUUAGUUUAAUAAAUAUCAAUAUUCAGAAAAUCAAAAAAAGAAGUUAUUUAAUUUUCUUGGACAAUUCACUUUGCAGUCACUUUUUUUAAUUUCAAUUGAUCAUUUGGAUUAAUCUCUCAAACAUUGCUAGUCAGAGCCAAAGAAUUUGACCGACCACGGGCGAGAUUCGAGAGUGAGUGUACGUGAAGUGUGUUUUUAUUUAUGUAUGUUGAUCACCAAAAAAAAAAUAUUUUUCUCAAAAUGAAGUUAAAGUGAGAAGGUGCAUAAGAAAAUUCAAGAGAAAGAUGGUGGAACUAUAGUACUAGCCAAUUUCUUCAUUUUCCAUUUUUUUGUCAAUUUGGUUGAUAAUUAUAUAAAAUAUCGUCACUUUUCAAAAUUCACAAAAUAAUUUUUUUACAGAAACUUGAAGUAUUAAUAAGAUCACGACAUUUGGAAUUUUUCAAAAAUAAGUUUUAGAAAAAUCACAAUAAAUUCUAAACUUCAGACUAGAAAAACUGUCUUUUUCAGGUUCCGAUUUCUUAUUUGGUGAAAUUCGACCAGGUUAAAUUAUUAUUUUCGAAAAUCUCAAAGAAUAUCAUAGAAAGACAAAAUACUAAGCUUUCUAAAUUGACCUCUCUCACCUCCACACGAUUUUUAUUAAAUUUUACAGGAUAUUUUCAAAAACAGAAAUCUAGGAAGAUAGUUUCUUGAAAAUGACAGUUUCAAAUAAAUAAGUUUUAUUUUAUUAAAAAUAUUAAAUAAACUUUAAAAUCUGAGAUUUUUAUACACAUGACUCUAAAAUGUUUCUAAAGUCCAUUUUAAAAAUAAAAACGUGAUUUUGUUUUCCAACAAUUAAUUUAUUGUUUAAUUUGACUUCAAGGCCUCAAAAAGGAGCAGCUUUAAAGAAAACUUAUUUAUAAAUUAUUUACUUUUUAUUUUGAAUCCAUUUUUUAACAUGUUAAAUAAAAAUCUUAUAUCUUUCCAAAAAAGUAUUAAACGCUCAAAUCCGAGUUCGGGAGGUCAUGGUACCAAAUUUAAAGUUCAACGAGAUGUAAUUUUCUCAACAGUUUUUUUUUAAAGGAAAAUUGGUUUUCUCUUAUAAAAUUCGAUUUCCCCAAAAUAAAAUUCUAUUUUUCUUAAAUAACAGAUUAUGUAUUUUUAAAUACUCCAAACCCUUUACCACUUCGUUAUACUUACCUAAAAUCAAUUUAGGUUGAGUUAAGUAAAGUGGAAAAUUCUAAAUAAAUCAAAAUAUAGGUUUUGUUUACUUAGAUCCCUACUUUCCAAACAUCCAAAGCGAAGAAAUAUGAAGACUAAUCAAGGCAACAUGGUUCAAGGCGAAGGGAUCAAGACUUGAAGCUGCUCAUUAGAUAGGAAUUAUGAUUAUUGUAACAUUUAUUGUACUUAUGGCAAUUGUAAACUAAAGUUCCACCAUCAAAUUAAUAAAACAAUAAAGGAAUUAUCUUA